rnacentral:rRNA from 1 species
AACGGGAAAGGGGGCCUCUUCUUGAAAGCUCUCGCCAGUAGAUGAGUCCGCGUUUCAUUAGCUAGACGGUGGGGUAACGGCCUACCGUGGCAACGAUGAAUAGCAGGCCUGAGAGGGUGGCCUGCCACACUGGGACUGGAACACGGCCCAGACUCCUACGGGAGGCAGCAGUGGGGAAUAUUGCGCAAUGGACGAAAGUCUGACGCAGCGACGCCGCGUGGAGGAUGAAGGUUUUCGGAUCGUAAACUCCUGUCAAGAGGGAAGAAACCUAUCGGAACUAAUACUUUCGGUAAUUGACGGUACCUCUAGAGGAAGCACCGGCUAAUUCAGUGCCAGCAGCCGCGGUAAUACUGAAGGUGCAAGCGUUAAUCGGAAUCACUGGGCGUAAAGCGCUCGUAGGUGGCUUUGUAAGUCAGGUGUGAAAGCCCACGGCUCAACCGUGAAUUGCACUUGAUACUGCAUCGCUAGAGUAUAGGAGAGGGAAGUGGAAUUUCUGGUGUAGGAGUGAAAUCCGUAGAGAUCAGAAGGAACACCCGUGGCGAAGGGACUUCCUGGACUAUUACUGACACUGAGGAGCGAAAGUGGGGAGCAAACAGGAUUAGAUACCCUGGUAGUCCACGCCGUAAACGAUGGGUACUAGGUGUCGGGGGCUUGACCUUCGGUGCCGUAGUUAACGCGUUAAGUACCCCGCCUGGGAGUACGGUC